rnacentral:tRNA from 1 species
GCAUUUUAUAAAACAAUCUAUAUUAUAAAAAAGAAUCCAGAAGUCGUGGGUUCGAAUCCCACCAAGUGCACCA